AAAAAUAGGAACACACAAAUGUGCUAUUGGGUGUCUCCCCCAGUGGCAGCUUGGUUCUCUGCCAGGGCUUUUUCCUAGGUAGAUGUCAGGGUCCAUGUGCCUUUUACAUGUGUGUGGUUUUUUAAAAUGUAGUAGCAUAGUUGGAGUAGUGAGCAUUUUUCAAGUUAAGAUUGGUAUUUGAUAUUGGGGGCUGCCCAUUCUGGAUGCUCUGUCCCUUUUUUCUUCGCACAUCUGAGACUUCCUGUAACAAAAGUUAGGCAGAGAGACGGCUCCCAGGGCGCCAGGGGGUGGGGCUGCAGGGCCCUUGGCGGCUCCUGGCCGAGCUCCAGACACCAGCCGGGUGGUUUUGGCAGGUGGCAGGGCAGAGGGCAUGGAGAUGCCCAUGCUGAACGCUGGCGAAGAUGAGGCUGUUCUGUACCAGGUGCUGAAAAGCACAUAGGGGAGAACUGGGAAGAUUUUCUUCUCUAGAGAUUUUUGGGAAAGGGAUUAGUUUUCAGGAAUGAGUGUCCUGCCUGAAGGCAGGGGACUGGCACUUAGCCUGUGGUCUCCAAGUUUAAAUCAG
rnacentral:lncRNA from 1 species